AUUGAACGCUGGCGGCAGGCCUAACACAUGCAAGUCGCACGAGUGGCGGACGGGUGAGUAAUGUCUGGGAAACUGCCCGAUGGAGGGGGCUAACUACUGGAAACGGUAGCUAAUACCGCAUACCAUCGGAUGUGCCCAGAUGGGAUUAGCUAGUAGGUGGGGUAAAGGCUCACCUAGGCGACGAUCCCUCGCUGGUCUGAGAGGAUGACCAGCCACACUGGAACUGAUACACGGUCCAGACUCCGACGGGAGGCAGCAGUGGGGAAGAUUGCACAAUGGGCGCAAGCCUGAUGCAGCCAUGCCGCGUGUAUGAAGAAGGCCUUCGGGUUGUAAAGUACUUUCAGCGGGGAGGCGUUACCCGCAGAAGAAGCACCGGCUAACUCCGUGCCAGCAGCCGCGGUAAUAC
rnacentral:rRNA from 1 species